rnacentral:pre_miRNA from 1 species
AGUGUACUCCCUCCGUCCGAAAAUACUUGUCAUUGAAAUGGAUGUAUCUAGAUGUAUUUUAGUUUUAGAUACAUCAAUUUUCAUCCAUUUUGAUGACAAGUAAUUCCGGACGGAGGGAGUACAUA